GACGGAAGGUGCAAGCGUUGUUCGGAUUGACUGGGCGUAAAGGGCGUGUAGGCGGUUGGUCAAGUCUGAUGUGAAAGCCCGGGGCUCAGCCCCGGAAGGGCAUCGGAAACUAGCCAGCUGGAGCGCGAUAGAGGAGGGUGGAAUUCCUGGUGUAGCGGUGAAAUGCGUAGAUAUCAGGAGGAACACCGGCGGCGAAGGCGGCCCUCUGGAUCGUUGCUGACGCUGAGACGCGAAAGCGUGGGGAGCAAACAGG
rnacentral:rRNA from 1 species